CAUGGAUGGAGUGUUUGUGUGAACUAAUAUAAAUUCAAAGUAAACAUCAUUACAUAAAAGGAGAUACCAUUGAGAAAAAUAAUGGUCUUGUUGAUGGAAGAAAAGUUUGGGAAACCCUGGAGUCCCUUGCAUCCAUUCCAGAACCUUGGUGGAGGCCAGGCUGGAGACUAGUCCGUUUCCUCACCCCCAUGGCAAUGCCCUUCAAGAAGGACCCUACGUCCCCGUUUCCCCCCAUACCCAGCCAGAGUUUAUUCCCUCUGAUCAGCAUGUGAAUCGUUUCCACAUCCUAAGCUCAUUCGGAGCUUUUGCAAUUUCCAAAGUAAAAAUUUUCUCCCCAGCUUUUUAUAAACUCUUUUCUUCAUUAAAACAAUGUCUGAGUAUGAAA